GGGAUAAUCACAUUGCCUCUACUGGACUGGGCCAGGCAGGAGCCUGGACUCUUAGAACUUGGAGGCUGCAAUGGGCUGUGAUUGCCAUUGCACUUCAGCCUGGGUGACAGAGCGAGACACUGUCUCUAAAAAGAAAAAAAGAAACAGAGUGUUUGGCUUUAAUGAGAGGGGUGAAUAGGCAGAGGAUUUUGUUAGAGCAGUGAAACUACUCUGCCUGAUGCUGUGAUGGUGGAGACAUCAUUACACAUUUAUCCAAACCCAUGGAAUGUACAGCCCAAGAGUGAACCCUGCUGUACGCUAUGAACUUUGGGUGAUAGUGAUGUGUCACUGUGGGUUCAGGGAUUGUAAUAAAUCUACCACUGUAGUGUGGGGGUGUUGAUAGUGGGGAGGCUGGGGGCAGGGGGAGGAGCAAAGAGACACAUGAGAACUCUACCUUCUGCUCAAUUUUGCUGUGAACCUAAAACUACUCUAAAAAAUGAAGUCUGACUCUUUUUCAGCAUGCAUUAGUGCCCAAGUAAAAACCAAAGACCAAUGUGCUUUGUAUUUGGUAUUAGGAGGAACUUAAGAAUUUUAUGUAUUUGAUGUUUUAUAAUCCAUUGUAGUCAUUAGUGCUUUUUCAAUUUAAAAUGCUAUCAUAUA
rnacentral:lncRNA from 1 species